AUGGCGCCGCAGCUGCAGUGCUGCUAUUGGAUGUCCUCCUGGCCACGGAUCGAGCAGAUGCCCCGGUGGCCGCGCUCCUCCGACUCGUUGCGGCGGCGGCUCCUACGCCUCGCGCCGACGCGACGGCCCUGCAACGUCGCGGUCUGCGUGGUCGCGGACGCGGACCCGGCACUGGCGCUGGACGGCGGCGCGGACUCGGUGGGGAUCGAGUUCCUGACGGAGGAGCAGGAAGACGUGGACGAGAGAGAGAGGCUCAGGCGGAUGCGAAUAUCGCAGGCGAACAAGGGUAACACGCCGUGGAACAAGGGCAGGAAGCACAGUCCAGAGACGCUUCAGCGGAUUCGCGAGAGAACCAGGAUUGCGAUGCAGGACCCCAAGGUUAAGAAAAAGCUGAUGAAUCUGGGGCAUGCACAGAGUGAGGAGACACGAGUAAAGAUAUCAGAGGGGGUGAGGCGAGGCUGGAGUUUGCGUCUGCAGAGAUUAAUGGUGCAGGAUGGCUGCUUUGUGGAGUGGAGGGACAUGGUAGCUAAUGCAGCUAGAGAAGGCUUUGCUGAUGAGGUUAGCCUCCAAUGGAAUUCAUAUAAAAUCUUGACUGACCAAAUGCGGCAAGAGUGGUUGGGGUAUCUCCAAAAAAGGAGAUCAAUGCCAAGGCCAAGAGGUAACAGACGAGCACCGAAAACUCCUGAGCAGAGGAGAAAAAUUGCAGAAGCUAUUGCUGCAAAGUGGUUGGAUCAAGAAUAUCGUGAACGUGUUUGUAGUGGAAUUGCUAGCUACCAUGGAUCAUGUACUGGCACUAAAACACCAAGAAAGCCAAGGCCUGCUGAAGAACCAGGUGUAAAGAGAGAGUCUAUGAAAAAGAAAUCUAUGCAAGAUAGAGCUGUAGCCUUAGAGGAUGCUCAUGGAAAAGGGGCAACUGUUAAGAGAAAGAAAAGUGCAACUCCCUACAAAGAUCCGAUGGCAGGUGAAAAAUUGGAGAUGUUAUCAAAGAUUCGAGCUCAAAGGGUAGCACUAGCAAUAGAAAAGGAAGAAGCUAUUAAAAGGGCCAGGUCACUGAUUGCAGAAGCAGAAAAGGCUGCUGAUGCCCUGGAAACUGCUGCAGCAAUGAGCCCUUUUGCUCAAGCAUCACUUAUAGAAGCUAGAAAGCUUGUUACAGAGGCAAGAGUAUCACUUGAAUGUGUUGAUCAUGAAGGGUCUCCAGAAAAUGCUUCUGAUGAUAUUUCAGAGGACUCAGGUUUAUUGGACUCUGACCACGGACUGGAGACACCGAAUGAAAACAAUGUGUUGUACCAAGACAAUAAACCUGUUAAUGGGAUAAAAUUUCCCCCAAGCAAUGGUAAAGGCAUUGGUUUCCAUUUCGAUGUAUCUGCAUUCACCGGAAUAAAACAACUAUAUCAGAGAAUAGAGAAUUCCAUGGAAAGAGCUUUUCUUCUUCCUGCAGCUUCAUCAAAGCAAGCUGUGAAUGGAGAUUUCAGAAUAAUAGAUUUUCAAGUUAGGCAAUCUAUGGUCAAUGAUAUGGCAAACAAUGAUUGCAUAGCAGCUGAAUCAACUGAUCUUCCAGGGACACUGGGAGAAGAUGCUCCCAGGUCUGCAGAAAAUUCCGAAACAGGAGAAGAUUGUUCUCCGGGGACACUGGAAGAAGACACACCUUCAUCUGAUGAAAAGGCUACGAUGAGAUGGUAUAAACCUACUGGCGCGGACGGGACCUUGAGUGCCGUGACAUCGAGGCACUUUAUUGCUUUGCAUACGUGCAGUAUCGAGCGCUUCACGACCAGCCUGUUCUCUUUCGAGGUUUACAGUGAGGCUCAGGCCAUAGGAACUAUCGAGGGUUCGAAUCCCUCUCUCUCCUUUUGUUUAUUGAAUACAUUUGUUUCUUUCUAUGUUUUUCUUUGUUCUAUUCAGUUUAGUGAGUCUAAACAAUUUCCGUAGCCAGCCUGUAAGGGAGAGCCUGUAUAUAUUAGAACCUUUUUUACCCAACGUAUUGGUCUUUCGCAUAAUUAGAUUACAUAAAUCCCCCUACAAGAAAUAUAUAUAUUCAGAUUAUGUCUUCACUGUGCCCGAUUGUAUUUCCUUCAAGGGAGGGCAAUUUUGUGUUUUUGAGGAAAAUUAUAUGGUAAAUGGAGUAUAAAUGCGCUGUGUAUGAAUAACUACCACGAAUUGUGUAGUUUCAAGUCUUGAUUUGGAGGUCUAGGCAUAAGAUUCACAGUACUGUUACAGAAGCAUAAGCUUUUUUCUUUUCCCUUCUAGCUGGCUACCAGAAUCCAAGGGGGUAAUGUCUUCUUUACUUGUGAGCUAUCUACAGGUGAGUAUAAUAAUAAGCAAUUUUGUUGCCCAUCUUAACUAGAGGUGCUUGUGGUCUAUUCAAACAGGAGAAUGGGUACGAAUCAAUACCGAUUGCUAGCCAUGAGGGGAAACAUUAUACAUGCUUUCUACCAGUUGACGAAACUAAGAUCAUGAAGUCAAUUGACCCACAAAAUGCAACUAAUGUUAUAAUAGAAAGUGACAGGAGAAUUAAGCCAAAGGAGCGAAAUGAGCUGCUUGAGCCUCUCAAUGAUCAGUGUUUCUACAGGCAUGAAGGUUGGUGGUCUUAUGAGUUCUGUUACCAUGGGAAAAUCCGAUAGGUUCAUGUAGAAGGUGAGAAGAGAAUGAUGAUAGAGGAACCAGAGAUCUACCAGCGGAUGCUUCAGAGCCUCAUUUCGAAAGCUCAACAAUGUAACAAUGAGAAACUUCUGGAGAACCCAUACCUUCAAAUGUGUGGAAUAUUGCAGUUAUCAACUGACCUAGGAGUGCAAUGAUCAGGCCGUGAAGGCAUUUCAAUGGAUAAAGCUAUAGGGUAGAAUCUGAAGUACUUUAGGCUGUGUUUAUUGCAGAAGAAUCUGAAAUUGGAUUCCUCUGCUCCAAAUUAAGAAAAGAUGCAAUGCGAAUCAUGUAAAUUACUGGGUUGGCCGGAUUCUUGUACAGGCCUCUGAAUUUCUUCAUUCUUUGUUAGACUUGGUGAAUAUCUUUCCGUGGGAGCUACUGUGAUUGACAGGAUAAUUUGGAGAUCAUCCUGUGUUAUGGACACCGUGCCAUCAUGGUUUACCUACCUGGAUGAAUUGACAAAGGUUAAAGACUACGAUUUUGUAAUGCUGACCAUUGAGAUCGAGGCAGCACAACUUUUUUUUGAGGCAUGCUCGGUUCAAUAAGUAGCAGGUCUCUUCCUUAACUAUGUGUUUGUUCUUCUUUACCUUUCCAUAUAUGGCAGCUGACCAAAGGAGUGUAGAUUUGUAUUGCCGAGUAAUAACAAUGUAAAUUUGCAGGGUGGUGGUGAUUAAUUUGGAGAUGAUGUAUCGCUCUGUAUUAGCUAUCAUGUUGGCUGGUUAAUUGUAACUAGCAUCACUGUUCAUACUCGGUUGUGUAUAUGGAAUCGAGAACUGUGCACUUUCGGUUGUGGUUU